CAGAAUUUUUUUUUUAAACUUCAAGGUGUCUACUAGGAGGCUCACAAAGUCUAGCUGUUUACAACUAAUUUUUAGCUGAAACAGUAUUCAUAUCUACCAGCUUUCUCAUUGUUUCAAUUCAAUCAUGCGUGACUGUUUGCUGUACACUCUACUUACUUGGUCUCUUGGUCCACUUCAUCAAAGUACUUAGGGUGACACUCGAGAUACCGUGCAUCACGCAUAAAACGAGGCUGACCUCUUGUAUCUAUGUCAAGCUAAGGGAAGUACCGACACUAAUACUCUUCAGUGUCUGGCUAAUGGUCAUACCCCAAGAUUGUCCAUUCUGUGGUCAGCUACUUCUAUAAAAAGUAAUGGAAUAAUUAUACAUUGUCUCAUCCUUCCUACCAUAAAUGGCCACAGGAAUGGUCAUUUUGGAAUAAAACAGCUCAAUACAUUAAUAUGGACAGUGGUCACUAACACUUAACCACUUUGCUCGACUCUAGUCACUAUUGUUGUAUAUGACGAAUCGCCUACAAACCACUGGUCAGGAAAAUGAACACUAGCCGUUAUGAUUAUUGAAUUCAAUAGUGGCUUUAAUUCUUUGAUUAUUUGCUUUGUGGAAAAGGGGGGGGGGGGGUGAAUAGUAGUCGCUUGUCUUAAUGUCUCAGUAAAAGCCCUGAUUAGGAUCAUGUGUCCCUAAGCCUGGUCCCUGCAAGCAGUUUAUUAAUAUCCAGUUACCGCGCAUCACUAGUGGUCAAGGGACGAUUGAGUUGCACAUUAUAAAAGUGACCAAGACGUACGUGUCAAGAUGAAAACAAUCAAUUUUUUUAUCGAUGACCACUUAGCUGGUUCCUGUUCAAUGGUCGGAAAACAUUAGUGAUAUAAUAGUAUCUUACCAAAAAUAAAAUGACCACUAGUCUUUCUUGAGAUAAAGGUAAUGGCUACUCGAUUUUUAUGCAAAUAAAAUGCGAUUCUUUCACAAAUAUUCUAAAUUCAUGGAUAGUGAGAGGUCGCUACUCUUUCCAUGCAGAAUGAAUGGAAACAUGAACACUCAAAAUAAAAUUUUAUCCGAAAAUUCACGUUCUAGAUCUGUAAAUUUGCCUGCCAUCAAUGGAACGGCAGAGAUUCAAAAUAAUGACGCCAAGUUUCGACUUGAUCCGAGACCGGGAAGUGGGAGAAAUGACCUGAACAAGAUUUGAACGAGAUGGACAAAAAGACAGUCGGAGUAAGUGGAAAUAAAUAAACAAGGUGAUAAUACAAGUUAUUAUGCCAUUUGUUAUAAAUUUUAAUAAUUUUUUUUUUCUAAAGGCAAGAACAAAUGUUUGCAUGGUAUUAUAACCACAAAAAGAUGUCGAUUGUCAAAGAGCUGCUACCCCCUUUCCCCCAUUUUUUUUUUCUAGACUUCCUCUCGGUUCCAUUUCUAUUUGACAAGUUCUUAGCUGCAAUAUCUGUGUCAGUUUCAAUUAGGACUUUCUGUGGGAAAGAAUGAAUGCAUUGCGUGAUAGCCAUCAGCUAGUGCGGACAUCUCUCGGGACAUGGAGGGAUGCUGGUCCGGUCCCAUUGGACAGGCUUCUAGCCGAGGAAAAAAAAAAGUUAGAGCUUUCUGUUUUGUCAUGACGUCUGCCUGACCUUGUAAUCAUACAGCAGCUGUAAGUCAAUUGUAAGUCAGCUGUCAGUCAUCUGUAGGUCAUCUGUUAUUCUAUUGUUAGUCAUCUGUAAAUCAGUUAUAAAGCACUUGUAAAGCAACUAUGAUUUAAUCUGCAAGUAAUCUGUAAGUCCUCUGUAAAUCAGUUGUAAGUCAGCUUUAAGAACGUCAACUGUAAACACAGCUGUUAGAAUGUAGCUGUAAAUCAGCUGUUAGAAUGUCAGCUGUAAAUCAGCUGUUAGAAUGUCAGCUGUAAAUCAGCUGUUAGAAUGUCAGCUGUAAAUCAGCUGUUAGAAUGUCAGCUGUAAAUCAGCUGUACGUUAGCUCUAAAUGAGCUGUACGUAGGUCAGGUGUAAGUCUUAUCUUUUAUGUUACAGACUUAACGUCCUACGCAUUUCAUGUGUCAAUCUAGUCAUGCAUGUUAAUCAAUGACUUAAACUCUGCUAAGUCGUUGGUUUUCCUGGCUGAUUCAGGCAACCCAUUCCAUUCUCUGAUGACAGUAAGGAAGAAGGAGCACUUAAACGAAUUCGUCCUAGAACAUGGAAUUAGAAAUGUGCCUCUAAAUUUGUGUCUUUCUGAGUAUUUAUUAGGUUUAGUUUUUCUAUUUGUAAAUUAUGGUUCUGUGUUUUAUGUAUUACAGCUACUUUACUUUUUAUUCUUCUGUCCUGAAGUGUCUAUAGGUUUAGUGAUUUGACUCAAGUUGUUACUCUAAUCAAAUGUGGAUAUUUGUUAUUGAAUCUUGAUAUAAAUCUCACUGUAGUAUUUGUUCAAGUUUCUUUAUGUUUUAUUGAGUUUAGGAGUAUGGAUAUUUUAAUAUUGGCCUAAAGUUAAAUAGCAUUUUAUUUUAACGUUCUUGUUUGAUUUGUAAAGCUUUCUUUUAAUAAACUCUCAUGUUUUGCUUGAUUUUUUAAAUAAAUUCAUCAAUACGUAGAUCUCAUGAUAACUUUUCAUUUAUUAUUACACCUAGACAUGUUGAGUUGUGAGUCUGUGUGUGACUUUACCACCGAAGUAGUUUUAUUUGCUUUAGUAUUUUUGUGUUACUCUAAAUAGAUGGGGGUUUUUUUCUGGGUGGAAAUUCUUGAAAGCGAUAGUCAUUUCAAGAACGCGAAAGCCUUUUCAAAGCCGAUAUUAGAUAUAUACUUACGUAUAGAUCUCUAGCCAAAUUUAAAUAUAUUUCAUUUUUUUAAGUUGAAAAAUUAUAACGGUCGAAGAGCUAGUAAUUUUUUCUCCAGCGAUAUAUGCUACAUCAAC